CCUAUGAUACAGGAGAAAGGACCACAGUUGUCAUCACACUGGUUGGCCUCUUGGAUAUGCUAUUUCACAUAAAGCUGAGUGGUUCCCAGUUCUACCUAAUGAUUCUUACUCAAGUUGGAAGCCUCUUUCAAGGAAGUAUUUUGCUUCUGAAAUGCCUAUGCAGCUAUCAAUUACCAAGGUCAAUUUGGGAAAGAGAAACUGAGAUUGAUUUUGCAAGAAGGUAUUGAUAUUUAUCAUUUUUUUUCUCUCUUCCGUUUUUCCUUGUGAUGAGAGAGAUGGUUUUCCACAUGGUUCCUGCAUAAACUUUUCAUUGUAUAUCACAAAGCUCUAGGGCAUAUUAAAAUUUUAAACAGACUGAA